AACGGUCUUUUGGUUUUGUUUUGUUAAAUAAAGUACACAAAUUCUGAUCUCACUCGACCUCGUCAUUGUCUCAUCAUGGAUAUGAAGUAUCAAUCAUUGUUGUCUUGGUUGGGAGCCCUCUGUAAUUUUUGGAGGUGCUUGAGUGAUGAUGAUUGACUUAGGAUGUUCCAGCAGCGAAGCCACGGGCAGCAUUUUGAUGAAGCACCUGGUUUUUGUCCAUUGGUUGUGGCCAUUUGAUGUCUUCAGAUGUGCAUUAUUCGGUUCAUAAAGGUAUGGAUGCCUUUAUUUUAGAUCAAGUCCUAUGACUUGGUCAUGUCAAUUUGAGUCUUUUUUAUGAGUAAUGCAAGUGGUGCUGUCAUUCAUUAUGAUCCAGGCUUGUCUUGAGCAGGUUGUCACACUGCUCGGUGCUGGACCGAGGGGCAUAAGCCGGGACAAUAGUGAUAAAUUUAAUGUCUGUUGUUUGGUUCAAGUGGUUCCAAGAUACUAGAGCUGCUUGGCAUGUUGGUUAUGCCUAGUUGUUGUGCACCCCAAUGUCGUACGAAACACUCCCAACAUUCUUACCCAGCCUAGUCUCAUCUGUUGAUGCUUCUCCUGGUUAGAGGGCUCAGAUGUGGAAACAGUUUCAUGAUCUCUCAUCUGUUGAUGCUUCUCCUGGUUAAGAGGGCUCAGAUGUGGAAAUAUGUGCUCAAUAAGAUUGUGAAGUCUGAAUGUGCCAGCUACCUUAACAGAUUCCAUCUAGUCGAAAUCGUGCACUGCAUUCUAUUUUGCUGGUUUUUUUAUUUGCAUAAACUAUUUGUCACUAAUAAAACUUUAAUUUGGGGGAAUAUCUUUCCUAAUUUGUACCUUUUGUAGUUCAUUUUUUCAUUAAAAAUAAUGUUUGCGUCCA